rnacentral:lncRNA from 1 species
AUUCAGGGAUCGUUUACACUUGAGAAGAACUACUGAACAGCACGUGCCAGAGAUUGAGGUCCAGGUCAAACGUAGAAGGACAGCCUCACUGAGCAACCAAGAGUGUCACUUGUACCCAAGGCGUUCUCAGCAACAGCAAAUUCCUGUGGUGGAUUUCCAGGCAGAACUGAGACAGGCGUUCUUAGCUGAGACACCAAGAGGUGGUUAAAGCAGUAUUGGAACUGUGGGGUGGUGGAAGUCAACAAAAACAGGCUAGCAUUGAAUUUCUAGGCAUCAUCCUAUCCUGCCUUGCUUCUCCCAAGUUCUCAUAGGCAUAAAACUAUACAAGGUUUUUGUGGUGUGUGGAAAGGCUUUGUCUUACCUAUCCAGAGUCAUAGGGAUACAAGGACCUAUCCACUGAUUGUGAAACUUUGGUCAAGCUUACACUGUGUUAAUAGCCUGCAUCAAACCUUUAUUUAUUGCCCUUCUCCAAGUAUUAAGGAUCUUGAAAUUUUAGUGUUGACAACUGCUAUUGUGGAACAGCAAUCAUGACUGUGGGUAAGAGUAGCAAGAUGCUCCAGCAUAUUGACUAUAGAAUGAGAUGUAU